AAGUGGGAUCUAAAAGAGAUUGGUUGUUACUGAAGGACAGUGGCCAGAGAUUUCAGCUUCGCAAAUAUGGCUCAAGUACCCCAAAGGCUGAGGAGACAAGUAUCUCAGGCUCUAAUAGAACUCACGUGGACUGGCAGGUUAGAAAGCUCCACUGUUGAGAGCUGUAGCUUCCUUGAGGAAGUAGGCCUUCAUAGCCUUAGUACAGGAUUCCCUGUCUAGUUAGUUCUUUGAUAGACUGUAUUUGCUGGAUACUAUACUACAUACUUUUAUGUUGAAAUUUUUUUAAGGUAAGUUCUAUUAGUAGUCUCAGGUUUAUUUAUCAAACAUCCAAAAAUACAUUUUUGCACUUAAUAUCCUCUGUUUAUAGCAAUUAAACCAUUAAAAUGUGUCUUUAUUAUUAGGAAUGUCACAUAUAAUGAGCAUUAGAGAUGGAGAGGUGAAACUUAAGUUGGCUUAAGAAAUAACAAAUGACUGUGAGAACAAACGGAUAUGUUGUCUGGGUGGGAAGACGUCUUGUAAAAAUGUUUCUAAUUAACUUCUUUGAGCAUAAAGCAAAUGAGAUUAAAGUAGGCUAGAUAUGGAAAGGAGGUAAUAAACUAUAUGCAAUUUUUGUAGUCCUAAUGACUGAUACCUACUUUCUAAGCAAUUUCUUUUGACAAUAAAAUAUUAGGAGUUAAAAAUAUAAGUAAAAUCUGAAACAUAAAAAUAUAAAUAAGCCUAAAGCAUUAUUUCCCGCAUUGGUGGGUGUAACUCUUCUCUUUUUUAAGAAAGAUUUAUUCACUUAUUUUAUGUAUAUGAGUACACUGUCUUCAUGUAUAUCAUGUGGUUGCUAGGAAUUAAACUCAGAACUUCUGGAAGAACAGUAAGUGCUCUUAGCCACUGAGCCUUCACUCCAGUCCCUGGGUGUCACUCUUAUGCUGUGAUGUUUCUAACCUUCCUACAAUAGUAAUAGCACGGUUUUUCUGUUGACCCAUGUGUAUUACAUUUGCCUCAGAACCUCCUGUGUCACUUGGUAUGUAUCACAGCAUCUCUGUGCAUGCCUCUGCAUAUUUUGUUUUAAAAUGUACACAUUACUUUCUACAACAGAAAUAUCAUUUUAAGAAUAUAAUAUUUUGGAUUUUGUGCAUUGUAGAUUUAUAUCAGGCAUACAAGAAAAUAAAACUUUGAAUAGAUUGCUUUACCCACAGAGACCUUUAUGAUUGCUUUAAUAAAAAAUAGCUAUAUUUUUAUAAGUUUCAUAGUAAUGUGACUUUGAUACUUGUAGAGCAUCCCUGUGCACAGCUUUGACUUUAAUUGCUUGUUUAUCUGGUGAGCUCAUGCUUCUCUUUACAACUUCAUGAAGAUGCGGCUGUAGUGAGAGCCAGGAGUACCAAUAUCUCAGCAGGGCUUCCUCUUAAAUUGGAGGGUUAGGGUAAUAAUUCUCUUUGGAGUAUAUGGACAUGUGCCAACUUUUUUAUAUUUAACAAAUAUUUUACCGUGAAACAUACCAUAAUCUGUAUGUCAUUUUAAAUUCAGGCUUACUUGAUACCAGUGAAAUAUAUCUCUCCUUUGAAAUACAAAGUCCUUUAUAGUUCUUUAUAGUUGAACAUCUUUAUAUAGAGAACCGAGGUAACUUAUUUUUGUAUUAUUUUAUAAGCACAAUGACUUGGGUCAUUAAGUUUUGUAUUUUCUUUUAGGGCAUAUUGAUGCAUUUACUUCAAAGCUUUUCAUGCUAGAAGAAAUCGCUUCAGAAGAAUUAAAAGAAAAACUUGCAGCACUCAAGUAAGGAAGUGCUUUGUGGUAGGCAUUGAAGAGACUGAACUCAUGUAAUGUGAUGGUGGCUUUUCCUUUACCUCUAAAUACUGAUGAUGCUUGACUACUCUCUACAUCUUGAGGUCUCCUAACUAACUCAGUUUACUUUGUUUCCAUCUACAAUGAAACAUACUGCUAGCAACACCAGCCUUUCCACUUCAUACACAGGAGGCUAGAGCCAGAGCGUGUGUUAUAAAGCACAGGGAAACACACAUUUUAACUCUGUGUAGAGAAGAGGAGGAUGAGACAGCCACAGACUUCCAGCCCUCAGAACUAUGUGACUGAUUGGACAGGCUGACUUCUGAAAUUUCUCCAUCUUACCAAAUGUUAGACAUCAGAAGUAAAUUAGUGGUCCUCAGAACUCUGAGUGCCUCAUUGUGUGGGAAAAGCUUUUGCAGAUAGUCUCAUUCUAUCACACAACUUGGCAGGAAAGGCUAUGGUAGCAUCAUGGCCAUUUCAUACAGAGAAGCUGGGACUGGGAGUGGUUCAUUCCAGCAGUGCUAAAGUCACCACUGUUAAUGGCAAAGCGUCACACUUGAACCCUGCUUACACAAAAGUCCUCUGUCUAAGGAUUGCUUUAUAUGUGUGCACAGAAAAGUCUUUCAGUACAUUGCUAGCUAACCCCUUGCCUUACUUCUCUU
rnacentral:lncRNA from 1 species